GAUGGACGCUGACAGAAUGCUUAACACAUGCAAGUCAACUUGAAUUUGGGUUUUUAACUUAGGUUUGGGUGGCGGACGGGUGAGUAACGCGUAAAGAACUUGCCUCCCAGCUAGGGACAACAUUUGGAAACGAAUGCUAAUACCUAAUAUUAUGAUAAUAGGGCAUCCUAUAAUUAUGAAAGCUAUAAGCGCUGUGAGAGAGCUUUGCGUCCCAUUAGCUAGUUGGAGAGGUAACGGCUCACCAAGGCGAUGAUGGGUAGCCGGCCUGAGAGGGUGAUCGGCCACAAGGGGACUGAGACACGGCCCUUACUCCUACGGGAGGCAGCAGGGGGGAAUAUUGGACAAUGGACCGAGAGUCUGAUCCAGCAAUUCUGUGUGCACGAUGAAGUUUUUCGGAAUGUAAAGUGCUUUCAGUUGAGAAGAAGCAAAUGACGGUACCAACAGAAGAAGUGACGGCUAAAUACGUG
rnacentral:rRNA from 1 species